rnacentral:rRNA from 1 species
CCUACGGGAGGCAGCAGUGGGGAAUAUUGGACAAUGGGCGAAAGCCUGAUCCAGCAAUGCCGCGUGAGUGAAGAAGGCCUUCGGGUUGUAAAGCUCUUUUACCCGGGAAGAUAAUGACUGUACCGGGAGAAUAAGCCCCGGCUAACUCCGUGCCAGCAGCCGCGGUAAUACGGAGGGGGCUAGCGUUGUUCGGAAUUACUGGGCGUAAAGCGUACGUAGGCGGCUUUGUAAGUCAGAGGUGAAAGCCCACGACUCAAUCGUGGAACUGCCUUUGAGACUGCUUCGCUUGAAGAUGGGAGAGGUUAGUGGAAUUCCGAGUGUAGAGGUGAAAUUCGUAGAUAUUCGGAAGAACACCAGUGGCGAAGGCGGCUAACUGGACCAUUCUUGACGCUGAGGUACGAAAGCGUGGGGAGCAAACAGGAUUAGAUACCCUGGUAGUCCACGCCGUAAACGAUGAUAACUAGCUGUCGGGGCUCUUGGAGCUUCGGUGGCGCAGCUAACGCAUUAAGUUAUCCGACCUGGGGAGUACGGCCGCAAGGUUAAAACUCAAAGGAAUUGACGG